CAAUAGCGUAUAUUAAAGUUGUUGCAGUUAAAAGCUCGUAGUCGGAUUUUGGCAUCACGCCGUACUGUCUGCCGAUUGGUAAGUACGGUUUGGCGGGUGCUCUCCUUCCGGAGGCUCGUUCCCUUCUUCAUUGAAGGGUUCGAUGGUUCCGGGUCUUUUACUUUGAAAAAUUAGAGUGUUCAAAGCAGGCCUAUGCUCUGAAUAGGUUAGCAUGGAAUAAUAGAAUAGGACUUUGGUUCUAUUUUGUUGGUUUCUAGGACCGAAGUAAUGAUUAACAGGGACAGUUGGGGGCAUUCGUAUUUAACUGUCAGAGGUGAAAUUCUUGGAUUUGUUGAAGACGGACUACUGCGAAAGCAUCUGCCAAAGAUGUUCUCAUUGAUCAAGAACGAAAGUUAGGUGAUCGAAGAUGAUCAGAU
rnacentral:rRNA from 1 species